rnacentral:rRNA from 1 species
UACGUAGGGUGCGAGCGUUAAUCGGAAUUACUGGGCGUAAAGCGUGCGCAGGCGGCUUUGCAAGACAGAUGUGAAAUCCCCGGGCUCAACCUGGGAACUGCAUUUGUGACUGCAAGGCUAGAGUACGGCAGAGGGGGAUGGAAUUCCGCGUGUAGCAGUGAAAUGCGUAGAUAUGCGGAGGAACACCAAUGGCGAAGGCAAUCCCCUG